ensembl:snRNA LOC120095713 U6 spliceosomal RNA
GCUUGCUUCAGCAGCAUGUACUAAAACUGGAUGACCCAGAGGAGAUUAGUGUGAUCCCUGCACAAGGAUGACCUGUGAACUCAUGAAGUGUUCCCUGCUGCU